rnacentral:rRNA from 1 species
CAGCCGCCGCGGUAAUACGAAGGGUGCAAGCGUUACUCGGAAUUACUGGGCGUAAAGCGUGCGUAGGUGGUGGUUUAAGUCCGUUGUGAAAGCCCUGGGCUCAACCUGGGAAUUGCAGUGGAUACUGGGUCACUAGAGUGUGGUAGAGGAUAGUGGAAUUUCCGGUGUAGCAGUGAAAUGCGUAGAGAUCGGAAGGAACAUCUGUGGCGAAGGCGACUAUCUGGGCCAACACUGACACUGAGGCACGAAAGCGUGGGGAGCAAACAGGAUUAGAUACCCGAGUAGUCCCUGUCUCUUAUAA